GUCCACGCCCUAAACGAUGGGCACUAAGUGUAGCCGGCGAAGGCCGGCUGUGCCGCAGCUAACGCAGUAAGUGCCCCGCCUGGGGAGUACGGCCGCAAGGUUGAAACUCAAAGGAAUUGACGGGGCCCGCACAAGCGGUGGAGCAUGUGGUUCAAUUCGACGCAACGCGAAAACCUUACCUGGGUUUGACAUGCAGGUGGUACUGAACCGAAAGGGGAUGGACCCGCAAGGGGAGCCUGCACAGGUGCUGCAUGGCUGUCGU
rnacentral:rRNA from 1 species